UUCAGGGACUGGGGAGUUUUUGGAGGGGGUGGGGAGGUCAAUAAACCAAGAAAACGUUAGAAAUAAAAGUCGCAUCAAGUAUGCUGAUCUCUGUAUUCCUAUUUUUGUUUUGAAAUUUGAUUUUAGCUAUUGCUUUUUUUUUUCUGGUUGUGUCUGUGUUUUUUUUUCCCACCCCCACAGGCGCCGAGCUGCGCUGUUUUCUUUUUUUCUUUUUCUUUUUUUUUUCUUUUUUGAAAUUCUGAAGCCAGACCGUCUUCUUCACAGCUUCAGGGCUGCAUCAUUGUGGACACACCAAGCUUCGCCUGCCUCACCUGCAUGGUUCCUGAGACGGCCCACCGUACACCCAAGAACCCCGGAAUUGCCUGCCUGCGCUGCCGUGAAGAAGAAGAAGGACCUGCUCCAAGUUCUGGCCAUGGUCACAGCUGGAUGGGGGUUUUGGAAGACAGGGUGAAGUUGCAGAAGACUGGGAUGGGGUGCUAGAGGCAUGCACAGGACUAAAGAGGGGGACUUAGGAAUACUAUACAUCAAUGCCCAUCGAUGCUUUGCAUAUAGGGCGAGGGCAGUCGCAGGCGAGGGCAGCCACAGCCCACGGCUCAUGCGUCCAGCUCUGGCUGCUCUCUGGGAUUAGUCUGAGCGGACAACUCAGGCCUGGACGUGGUGGCAUUUUCCCAGAGAGUGGAAUUGAAGAUGGAUGACCCAGGCCGAAGUCAGCAUUGUCAAAACACUGCAGGCAACAUCACAGCUUCUGAAGCUCUGGAGUCGCUCUCUCUCCCCUGGUAUUAAAGGGAAUGCAAACACAGAAAACUACCUCUCACUCAUUUCAUCUCGUCUUUCGGAUGAUAAAGGAACAGAUCUACUUGAGAAAUGAUUAUCCUGACUAUGUAGUUCAGAUUUUCUUCAGCACUGUAAACUGGAGAGAGGUGGCCACCCGUGAGUCCAGACAGAGAACUGACGUGUACCAUCCACCACAUAUGUACCACACAGGAGUAGAAAGCGAUGUGGAGCUAGUGAGCUACUGCCUCAGUGAGGCAUGUAUCCCACGUUCAUUGUAACUAUUAAUCCGAAAUGACAAUUGCCGGUGAGUCGCAGGAAAUAUAUAUUUGUGUACACACACACACACACACACACACACACACAUACACAUAUUGCACAUUUUUGCCUCACAAAGACUUGGUGUUUUCUUUGUCCUGGUUGUGGCAUAGUCUGAUAGCUUCUCUCCAAAUGCACGCCAAAUCGUCAAAGGCUGUCAGACUGGAAGGCAUUGCUCCGAUCUGGAGUUGAAGGCUGUGGCCUCAGGUUUCUCGCCUGUCUUUUAUGUCUCAGAAGCACAAGUUGUGAAACAGUGUGGAAAUUGAAUGUAGCAAAUGUGCAAUCAAAUAUCCUGUGUAGUUCAAGGCUACCUAACAAAAGAGGCCCAUAAGCUGGACUCUACUCUGGCAUUCCAGGGCGGUUUACCUGAAGAAACUUCUGACACCACAAAUGUAAAGAAAAACAGACAACAUUUCACAGAUAAACUUUAGGAAGUUCAUUUAACAUAGUUAUUUCUGUAUUUUAGCCAACACUCAAUACUUUCCUAAAAUAUUCUGCUGUAAAAAAUAAAUGAGACAAGAAUGA